rnacentral:rRNA from 1 species
UACGUAGGGCGCGAGCGUUGUCCGGAAUUAUUGGGCGUAAAGAGCUCGUAGGCGGCCUGUCGCGUCCGCUGUGAAAUCCCGGGGCUUAACCCCGAGCCUGCAGUGGAUACGGGCAGACUAGAGGUAGGUAGGGGAGAAUGGAAUUCCCGGUGUAGCGGUGAAAUGCGCAGAUAUCGGGAGGAACACCGGUGGCGAAGGCGGUUCUCUGGGCCUUACCUGACGCUGAGGAGCGAAAGCGUGGGGAGCGAACAGG